GACGAACGCUGGCGGCGUGCUUAACACAUGCAAGUCGAACGAAGAGCGAUGGAAGCUUGCUUCUAUCAAUCUUAGUGGCGAACGGGUGAGUAACGCGUAAUCAACCUGCCCUUCAGAGGGGGACAACAGUUGGAAACGACUGCUAAUACCGCAUACGAUCUAACCUCGGCAUCGAGGAUAGAUGAAAGGUGGCCUCUACAUGUAAGCUAUCACUGAAGGAGGGGAUUGCGUCUGAUUAGCUAGUUGGAGGGGUACCGGCCCACCAAGGCGAUGAUCAGUAGCCGGUCUGAGAGGAUGAACGGCCACAUUGGGACUGAGACACGGCCCAGACUCCUACGGGAGGCAGCAGUGGGGAAUCUUCCGCAAUGGACGAAAGUCUGACGGAGCAACGCCGCGUGAGUGAUGACGGCCUUCGGGUUGUAAAGCUCUGUUAAUCGGGACGAAAGGCCUUCUUGCGAAUAGUUAGAAGGAUUGACGGUACCGGAAUAGAAAGCCACGGCUAACUACGUG
rnacentral:rRNA from 1 species